UUUUGGUGAAACAAAGCCACUGCUUCCCUUUGCGGCAUAUAGCCCCAUUAUGGCAUAAUGGCAUAUAGCCCCAUUACGACUGCCAGAUACUCCUAGAUGCUUUACUUUAUAAUAACUUUUCCCUGAUUCAACACAUUCUUUGACUAAGACUCCAUAACAGGAUCUUUCUAUAUGGGUAUGGUGAAUUUUGGGGUACCAUGAAUCUCAGAGGUUGUUGUGCGGGCAUGACAUCAUCCAAGUAGUCAGGGAAUUUCUAGAAGGGUGGGGAAACAGAUGUUACAGAAGGACAAUGCCAUCCUGGGAGGAGGGAAUGGAAGAGGCUUCCAUCACCAGGGGAGCUAGCUCUGGCCUUUGUGGCUCCUACUUUAGUGACAUGAGAAAGUCUCUGGGGCUUUCAUGUGAACCUGUUUCAACUCCUGAGGCCAAAUAUGCUCUAUGUGUCACCCGGAGAGUCCCAGCUAAGAGGCCAAAUGAGUAAAAUGCAAGACAUGAAGCUGGGAGGGGUCGGAAUGCUGAUCUGACCUCAGGCUGCUGGAGAGAAGUUAACUAGCUUUUUAAAAUUUUUAUUUAUUUUUUUAAGAGAUAGUGUCUUGCUAUAUUGCCCAAGCUGAACUUGA
rnacentral:lncRNA from 1 species